rnacentral:rRNA from 1 species
CCUACGGGCGGCAGCAGUGGGGAAUAUUGGGCAAUGGGCGCAAGCCUGACCCAGCAACGCCGCGUGAAGGAAGAAGGCUUUCGGGUUGUAAACUUCUUUUAUCAGGGACGAAGCAAGUGACGGUACCUGAUGAAUAAGCCACGGCUAACUACGUGCCAGCAGCCGCGGUAAUACGUAGGUGGCAAGCGUUAUCCGGAUUUACUGGGUGUAAAGGGUGUGUAGGCGGGAGUGCAAGUCAGAUGUGAAAACUAUGGGCUCAACCCAUAGCCUGCAUUUGAUACUGUACUUCUUGAGUGCUGGAGAGGCAAUCGGAAUGCCGUGUGUAGCGGUGAAAUGCAUAGAGAUUAGGAGGAACACCAGUGGCGAAGGCGGCUUACUGGACUGUAACUGACACUGAGGCUCGAAAGCGUGGGGAGCAAACAGGAUUAGAUACCCCUGUAGUC